UCUAGUAGCUGGUUCCCUCCGAAGUUUCCCUCAGGAUAGCUGGUGCAUUUUAAUAUUAUGUUAAAUAAUCUUAUCUGGUAAAGCGAAUGAUUAGAGGCCUUAGGGUCGAAACGACCUUAACCUAUUCUCAAACUUUAAAUGGGUAAGAACCUCACCUUUCUUGAUAUGAAGGUUGAGGUUAUGAUAUAAUGUGCCCAGUGGGCUAGUUUUGGUAAGCAGAACUUGCGCUGUGGGAUGAACCAAACGUAAUGUUACGGUGCCUAAAUUAACAACUCAUGCAGAUACCAUGAAAGGCGUUGGUUGCUUAAAACAGCAGGACGGUGGACAUGGAAGUCGUAAUCCGCUAAGGAGUGUGUAACAACUCACCUGCCGAAGCAACUAGCCCUUAAAAUGGAUGGCGCUUAAGUUGUAUACCUAUACAUUACCGCUAAAGUAGAUGAUUUAUAAUACAAUUUCGAUUGAAUUAUAAAUUUUGAAACUUUAGUGAGUAGGAGGGUACAAUGGUGUGCUUAGAAGUGUUUGGCGUAAGCCUGCAUGGAGCCGCUAUUGGUACAGAUCUUGGUGGUAGUAGCAAAUAAUCGAAUGAGACCUUGGAGGACUGAAGUGGAGAAGGGUUUCGUGUGAACAGUGGUUGAUCACGAGUUAGUCGGUCCUAAGUUCAAGGCGAAAGCCGAAAAUUUUCAAGUUUUAAUGC
rnacentral:rRNA from 1 species